rnacentral:rRNA from 1 species
AGAGUUUGAUCCUGGCUCAGGAUGAAUGCUGGCGGCGUGCUUUAUAUAUGCAAGUCGAGCGACGUGUUCCAGCUUGCUGGAAUUACGAGCGGCAGACGGGUGAGUAAUGCGUAGGAAUCUACCCUGAAGUGGGGGACAACCAGCCGAAAGGUUGGCUAAUACCGCAUGUGCCCCGAUGUAACAUCGGGGUAAAGAUUUAUCGCUUCAGGAGGAGCCUGCGUCCUAUCAGCUUGUUGGUGGGGUAAAAGCCUACCAAGGCGACGACGGGUAGCUGGUCUGAGAGGAUGGUCAGCCACAACGGCACUGAGACACGGGCCGUACAUCUACGGAUGGCGCAGUAGGGAAUCGUUGACAAUGGGCGAAAGCCUGAUCACGCGACGCCGCGUGGGGGAUUGAAGGCCUUCGGGUCGUAAACUCCUUUUGCGAGGGAAGAUUAUGACGGUACCUCGCGAAUAAGCACCUGCUAAUCACGUGCCAGAAGCCUCGGUAAGACGUGAGGUGCGAGCAUUAUCCGGAUUCACUGGGCGUAAAAGGUUGCGUAGGCUGUCCGAUGCAUUUUAUUUGAAAUGCUGUGGCUUAACCACAGAUUUGGAUAAAAUAUGAUCGGACUUGAUGACUAAAGGGGGUACUGGAACUCUACAUGUAGCAGUGAAAUGCGUUGAUAUGUAGAGGAACACCAAAGGCGUAGGCAGGUACCUGGGUAGUUCAUGACGCUGAGGCACGAAAGCAUGGGGAGCGAAGCAGAUUAGAGACCUGCGUAGUCCAUGCCGUAAACGAUCCUUGCUAGAUGGGAAGAUUUUUCCUCCUGUCGUAAGCUAACGCGUUAAGCAAGGUGCCUGGGGAGUACGAACGCAAGUUUAAAACUCAAAGGAAUUGACGGGGAGGCGCACAAGCAGUGGAGCGUGUUGUUUAAUUCGAGGAAAAGCGAAAAACCUCACCAGGGUUUGACAUGUACUUGCAAAUCCCAUGAAAGUGGGACUCCUUCGAGGGUAGUACACAGAUGCUGCAUGGCCGUCGUCAGCUCGUGGCGUGAGCUGUACCGUUAAGUCGGGUAACGAGCGCAACCCGCACCGUAUGUUAGAUAAUUCAUGCGGAACUGCCUCACAAAUGUGAGGAGGAAGGCGCGGAUGAUGUCAGGUCAGCACGGCUCUUACACCCUGGGCUACAAACACCCUACAAUGGCGAAAAACAACGAGCUGCAAGCCGGUAACGGCAAGCUAAUCUCUGAAAUUUCGCCUCAGUUCAGAUCGAGGGCUGCAACUCGCCCUCGUGAAGUCGGAAUUGCUAGUAAUCGCGAAUCAGCAGGUCGCGGUGAAUACGUUCUCGCCUCUUGUACACACCGCCCGUC